rnacentral:rRNA from 1 species
AUUCCUACGGGGGGCAGCAGUGAGGAAUAUUGGUCAAUGGGCGGGAGCCUGAACCAGCCAAGCCGCGUGAGGGAAGAAGGUACAGCGUAUCGUAAACCUCUUUUGCCAGGGAACAAAGGCGGGGACUAGUCCCCGGAUGAGGGUACCUGAAGAAAAAGCAUCGGCUAACUCCGUGCCAGCAGCCGCGGUAAUACGGAGGAUGCGAGCGUUAUCCGGAUUUAUUGGGUUUAAAGGGUGCGCAGGCGGAAGCGCAAGUCAGCGGUAAAAUUGAGAGGCUCAACCUCUUCCCGCCGUUGAAACUGCGU